rnacentral:rRNA from 1 species
CAGCAGCCGCGGUAAUACGGAGGGGGCUAGCGUUGUUCGGAAUUACUGGGCGUAAAGCGCACGUAGGCGGUUUUGUAAGUCAGAGGUGAAAGCCCGGAGCUCAACUCCGGAACUGCCUUUGAGACUGCAUCACUUGAACGUCGGAGAGGUGAGUGGAAUUCCGAGUGUAGAGGUGAAAUUCGUAGAUAUUCGGAAGAACACCAGUGGCGAAGGCGGCUCACUGGACGACUGUUGACGCUGAGGUGCGAAAGCGUGGGGAGCAAACAGGAUUAGAUACCCCUGUAGUCCCUGUCUCUUAUAA